rnacentral:rRNA from 1 species
AGAGUUUGAUCCUGGCUCAGGACGAACGCUGGCGGCGUGCUUAACACAUGCAAGUCGAACGGAAAGGCCCUUCGGGGUACUCGAGUGGCGAACGGGUGAGUAACACGUGGGUGAUCUGCCCUGCACUUUGGGAUAAGCCUGGGAAACUGGGUCUAAUACCGGAUAGGACCGCAUGCUUCAUGGUGUGUGGUGCAAAGCUUUUGCGGUGUGGGAUGGGCCCGCGGCCUAUCAGCUUGUUGGUGGGGUAAUGGCCUACCAAGGCGACGACGGGUAGCCGGCCUGAGAGGGUGACCGGCCACACUGGGACUGAGAUACGGCCCAGACUCCUACGGGAGGCAGCAGUGGGGAAUAUUGCACAAUGGGCGCAAGCCUGAUGCAGCGACGCCGCGUGAGGGAUGACGGCCUUCGGGUUGUAAACCUCUUUCAAUAGGGACGAAGCGCAAGUGACGGUACCUAUAGAAGAAGCACCGGCCAACUCCGUGCCAGCAGCCGCGGUAAUACGUAGGGUGCGAGCGUUGUCCGGAAUUACUGGGCGUAAAGAGCUCGUAGGUGGUUUGUCGCGUUGUUCGUGAAAACUCACAGCUUAACUGUGGGCGUGCGGGCGAUACGGGCAGACUAGAGUACUGCAGGGGAGACUGGAAUUCCUGGUGUAGCGGUGGAAUGCGCAGAUAUCAGGAGGAACACCGGUGGCGAAGGCGGGUCUCUGGGCAGUAACUGACGCUGAGGAGCGAAAGCGUGGGUAGCGAACAGGAUUAGAUACCCUGGUAGUCCAA